rnacentral:lncRNA from 1 species
CAAGAUUCUUACAAUUUGGAUAGAUUCAGAUGAAGCUGAUUAUUGUCACAGGGUAUGCUUGUAGCGAGUGUGUGGUCUUCCAGGAACAAACAUAUGCAGAUUGGCAUUAAUCUGAAGAAACAAAGUCUUAACUAUGAGCUUAUUUUUAACCAUGAUGGAAAAUUGUUUAGUACUUUCAAAUCAAGGAUCUUCCUAGAGGGACUCCUGCACUUUUUGAGUAUCUUUCAUCUUUAUUCCAUCAUUCGAAGGAGAACGGAGAG